ensembl:snRNA U6 U6 spliceosomal RNA
AUGCUCGCUUUGGUGGCACGAAUCCUAACAUUGUAAUGAUACAAAGAAGAUUAGCAUGGCCCAGGGCAUGGAGGACAUGCAAAUUUGUGAUGCGUGCCUUAUUUUU